CGGUGCUAGUGGCAGACGGGUGAGUAACACGUGGGAACGUACCUUUCGGUUCGGAAUAAUACAGGGAAACUUGUACUAAUACCGGAUACGCCCUUCGGGGGAAAGAUUUAUCGCCGAUAGAUCGGCCCGCGUCUGAUUAGCUAGUUGGUGAGGUAAUGGCUCACCAAGGCGACGAUCAGUAGCUGGUCUGAGAGGAUGAUCAGCCACACUGGGACUGAGACACGGCCCAGACUCCUACGGGAGGCAGCAGUGGGGAAUAUUGGACAAUGGGCGCAAGCCUGAUCCAGCCAUGCCGCGUGUGUGAUGAAGGCCUUAGGGUUGUAAAGCACUUUUGUCCGGGAAGAUAAUGACUGUACCGGAAGAAUAAGCCCCGGCUAACUUCGUGCCAGCAGCCGCGGUAAUACGAAGGGGGCUAGCGUUGCUCGGAAUCACUGGGCGUAAAGGGCGCGUAGGCGGACUCUUAAGUCGGGGGUGAAAGCCCAGGGCUCAACCCUGGAAUUGCCUUCGAUACUGAGAGUCUUGAGUUCGGAAGAGGUUGGUGGAACUGCGAGUGUAGAGGUGAAAUUCGUAGAUAUUCGCAAGAACACCAGUGGCGAA
rnacentral:rRNA from 2 species